rnacentral:rRNA from 1 species
AUUGAACGCUGGCGGCAGGCCUAACACAUGCAAGUCGAGCGGCAGCGACUUAACUGAACCUUCGGGGAACGUUAAGGGCGGCGAGCGGCGGACGGGUGAGUAAUGCCUGGGAAUAUGCCCUGGUGUGGGGGAUAACUAUUGGAAACGAUAGCUAAUACCGCAUAAUCUCUUCGGAGCAAAGAGGGGGACCUUCGGGCCUCUCGCGUCAGGAUUAGCCCAGGUGGGAUUAGCUUGUUGGUGAGGUAAUGGCUCACCAAGGCAACGAUCCCUAGCUGGUCUGAGAGGAUGAUCAGCCACACUGGAACUGAGACACGGUCCAGACUCCUACGGGAGGCAGCAGUGGGGAAUAUUGCACAAUGGGGGAAACCCUGAUGCAGCCAUGCCGCGUGUGUGAAGAAGGCCUUCGGGUUGUAAAGCACUUUCAGUAGGGAGGAAGGUAGUGUAGUUAACACCUGCACUAUUUGACGUUACCUACAGAAGAAGCACCGGCUAACUCCGUGCCAGCAGCCGCGGUAAUACGGAGGGUGCGAGCGUUAAUCGGAAUUACUGGGCGUAAAGCGCAUGCAGGCGGCCUGUUAAGUCAGAUGUGAAAGCCCGGGGCUUAACCUCGGAAUUGCAUUUGAAACUGGCAGGCUAGAGUCUUGUAGAGGGGGGUAGAAUUUCAGGUGUAGCGGUGAAAUGCGUAGAGAUCUGAAGGAAUACCAGUGGCGAAGGCGGCCCCCUGGACAAAGACUGACGCUCAGAUGCGAAAGCGUGGGGAGCAAACAGG